rnacentral:rRNA from 1 species
UUCUGGCUCAGGAUGAACGCUAGCGACAGGCUAACACAUGCAAGUCGAGGGGCAUCACGGGAGUAGCAAUACAACUGGUGGCGACCGGCGCACGGGUGAGUAACGCGUAUGCAACCUACCUAUCAGAGGGGAAUAACCCGGUGAAAGUCGGACUAAUACCGCAUAAAACAGGGGCACCGCAUGGUGAUAUUUGUUAAAGAAAUUCGCUGAUAGAUGGGCAUGCGUUCCAUUAGGUAGUUGGUGAGGUAACGGCUCACCAAGCCGACGAUGGAUAGGGGAACUGAGAGGUUGGUCCCCCACACUGGUACUGAGACACGGACCAGACUCCUACGGGAGGCAGCAGUGAGGAAUAUUGGUCAAUGGGCGGGAGCCUGAACCAGCCAAGUCGCGUGAAGGAAGAAGGAUCUAUGGUUCGUAAACUUCUUUUGCAGGGGAAUAAAGUGCAGGACGUGUCCUGUUUUGUAUGUACCCUGAGAAUAAGGAUCGGCUAACUCCGUGCCAGCCGCCGC